CAUAAGAAAGAAAAAAUCAAAAAAAGAAAGAGGGGAAAAGAAAAGAGAAAAGGAAAAGAAAAAAAAAACCCUAGCAGCCGCUCGCCGCCGCGUACCCGAGCCGCCCAAACCCUCUUCUUUCUUUUCGUCAGCUCAGCCGAAUCGUUCGCAGCCGCCAGCCAUCGCGUGAAGCCUCGUCCUGCCGUGUCGCCGAGCAGCAGCAGUCGACGAUCGUCAGCCGCGCGCCUCCAGCCGUCGAAGCCGAACACACGUUUCGGCCGUCGCCCGAACCCGAAGCUGAACCCACGUUUCGGUCGUCGCCCGAACCCAAAGUCGAACCCACGUUUCGGCCGACGCCCGAACCCGAAGCCGACCCGCGCCCGCUCGCUCGCUUGCACACCGCUCGACGCCCGCGCACGCCCGCUUCGAGUCGCAAGCCGAGCCCGCGCGCGCCCAUCCCAUGCCGUGAGCCGCGCCUGUCUGCGCCACGAGCCGAGUCGAUCCCCAACCUUCAAGCCGAGCCGGUUCCUGCUCCUCCAGCCGAGCCCCCAAGCCUAGUUGGCUCUUUUCCACCCAAUUUUUGGCCACCUUGGACGAUUUGACUUGGAGCGUUGGAUUUCUUCGGUAGGGGCUCAAGCAUUGCAACCUCGACCUAGGUUAGGACCUCGUUGCUUGGAAAGCACACUUGUCUUGCGGUUAGGACUCGUCGAGUAAAUCUCCAGGUAGAGGCUGAGGUAAGGGCAAAGGCAAGCUGGCGAGCGACCAGAAGUGACCGUGGCGAGCCAUAGGGAUUUCUGCUUCCGCCUACAUUUGUUUUUGACGUUUAGUACUUGAGUUUUAUUUUUCUUCACUAUUUACUAUUUCUUUUCUUUAAAAGUAGAUAGGGCCCAAGUAGGACUUUAGUAUUUAAUUUUAUUUUCGCAUAUUACCUUGAUUGAUUUUCAUAAAUAAAUUUCUUAAAUUUUAUUCGUUUUUACUAAAUUUUAUGACUUAAACCACGUGUUUUACAUUCAGUAAUGACUGCGACUCAGUAUAAGGAGUUGGGUCUUUACAUCCUCGCAGCCCGAUUGUCUUAGUGUUUCAUCCGGGUUCGCUACAGACCAGUAUGUCCUAGGUUCUCCCCCAGGACACUGAAGACCAGAUUCCGUUCCUACGGGAGCGCAUGUUGCCGUGUUCGGGAACGUGCCAGUUCUUGGGUACCACUUUUUAGGACUCUAAUGGGGAGUUAACAGACACCUAGCGGGACUAGUAGUAGGUCCCUUAUUGAGUAUAUGUUUAUACUCACUCUUUCUAUGUUUAAUAUUUCAGGCGAAGGUAAAGGUAGAGGAAAGCUGGCGAGCGACAGAGAAGGAUCCGUGACAUGCCAUAUGGGGACUCAGUUUUGCUUCCGCGUUUAUGUUUCAGUGUUUUAAUAUUCCGUUUUUAAUGAAAAUUUAGUCUUCCCUCGUUCUAAAAAAGGUGUCUCUUGUCAUUGUUUCUUUUUAGUAAUGACCUUAGCUUAGUAUAAAAAGUUGGGUCCUUACAGAUCAUAUUGUCUAUUAUGCCACAUAAUUCAUAUCUAAAAAAUAAUUUAGUACAUACAAAUAUAUGGGAUAGCAAGGAGAUGAGAGAUAAAAUAAUAUAUACAUAUAUAUA